rnacentral:rRNA from 1 species
UACGUAGGGGGCAAGCGUUGUCCGGAAUCAUUGGGCGUAAAGAGCGUGUAGGCGGUCCGAUAAGUCCGCUCUGAAAGCCCGGGGCUCAACCCCGGGAGGCGGGCGGAUACUGUCGGGCUAGAGUCCGGAAGAGGCAAGUGGAAUUCCUGGUGUAGCGGUGAAAUGCGCAGAUAUCAGGAGGAACACCGAUGGCGAAGGCAGCUUGCUGGGACGGUACUGACGCUGAGACGCGAAAGCGUGGGAGCGAACAGG